GUUCUGCCUAAAGGACAACCGUCAGAAGUCUUUAUCCCGGGCUUAAGGCGAACCAAUAGCAAUUUUUGAUCAUACGUUAGAUAUAGGUUUGGCUUGAUGCAGUAAUUCUUUUUCACGUCCAUACCACUGGAAUUAUAUCAUGCUAAUUGAGGUAAAUCCAUUAAGACACGAGUUUUGUGCUUCAAACCUGGUUUUGUUCGCUCAGCGGAGUUUCAUAUCCCCUUUAAUCCUUUCACCGCCAUUUUGAAUCGAAUGACAUUGUACGAGGCCCUGGUUUCCUUGUUAGUUUUGCGCCAAAGAGAGCCUACGAAAGUCUUGUUUUUAUGUAAAAUCGUGCCUUUUCCCGUAAUUAUUUGGGAAGGAAAUAUGAUUUUUCAAGGCUGAGCGAGUCUAAAGGUCAUUGGAUUCACCACAUCAUUCUGGACAAUUUUUGAGUGCUGCCUGGUCAGACGCCGUGAACCGUGGGUAGACAACCUUUGAGAUGACUACCGUUGCUUUGCUGUCAGUCCCAGAGAGGUCUGCAUCUACUACAUCAAAGAGAGGAAUGCAACCUAACUAAUCAUCCAGAAUAAAGAAUGUCAUCAAAAUGUGUCUGCCAAAGGUAUCCCAUGUGGGCUGGCCUAGGACAGACGCCAUCUUUGAUUAUAUAUUGGACAGAGCUAUUUUUAUCUCCUCCGGGUGCUGUUUUCCUCUGCGUGUUUCAUUUGCCUGAGUAUGAGCUGCAAAAUUUGUAAAGAUUAAAAGACUUUUUUAAUAGAUGAAGAGUUUUAAUUUGAUUGAAAAUAUUCGAGCAUUCAUACGAUUUGUUGUUCUGUCCAUCAAAUGUGCAUUAUUCAGGACUUUUAUAAAACGCGUAAAUCUAUGACGUGUUGUGAUAGUUUUAUGACGUAGAGUGAAAGGAUUAUUGCAUGUUUUUAUUUCCUCGAGCAAAUAAUGGUAACUGUAAAAUGGAAUUGUAGAAAGUGUGAUAUCCUUACCACUUUAGAAACACUACUGUUCAUCGUAGGGAAUCAUUAUGGUGGUUUCAAAUUCCAUUUAUUCGCUGUGUACGAGUUUUCUUUGAGCAUCCUCUUGCAAUUUUAGGUGUAUGUGACAAUACUGCAUUGAACCCGAUGCAAUUAACUCACUUCACUAUAUCCACUGAAACACCAUUGCAAAUAUUGCGAGGGGAUAUCAACAAACCAUAACAUUUUAGCACCUUAGAUCUUUUUAUCAGACUACAGAGUAUGAUUUCUUUAUUAAUGUUACAUAAUUAAUAAUGCUUAAUAAAAAGAUGUACGAGUU